UAGACAUUGACUGGUGUUGAUUUCGGACAUACAGUGAUGUCAUCUGGAGCUUUCUGCCAUGCUUACCAUGUUGAUGACACUCUCUUGCCAUGUCAUUAUCACAACUUCAGUCAUCAUGUUCAUGUUUAAAGUUGCACUGGCAUUUCAGCUUCAGACCAUCAAACUUUAAAGCAUCGUGAGGACUCUGAGCCAACCCUGGAAAAGUGUGCCCUUUCUGGUCCAGCACCUGUCUGUUUGCUCAGCUCCAUAAACGGCUGACUUAUAAGAGCUACUCACACAGUGUAGCUUUCACAUAAAGAGUAAAGAGCAUCUCUACUUGCUGCAAAUCUGGGUGUCUUGACAGACGGAUUUAAUUCGACCUCGCUUUCUGCCUGAUGUGGAGUGACACGCAAUACAGGCUGGUCUGGCAUAUCAGAUGGAUGAAAUUGCAUGUGGGGCUUUUUGGCUUCCACCUCCUCCCUCUUCUCUGAUCUUAGGCAAGAAUGGAGGUGCAAGGUACUGCAUCUGGGCCCCAGGAAUGAAGGUGACACUUUCUCUCUGGAGGCAACUUCUACAAGCACAGAGUGGAAUGGAAUUGACAGUGAGCUGUGAUAGAGGCAGCGCGCACCCCCAGCAGCAAGAGUGGCACCAUCAGGCUCCUUCUGGGAACUACAUCAGCAUCUCAGCAGCAAGCUGCCAGAGCUUUGAAGUGUGUCUAUUUGAAAAUGUGGUGAAUAGCAGAGGAAAGAAAAAAAAAUGAGAACAUAAUUGGAUGGAAGCAAUGAACUGCAUUUUCAGAAUUAGUCAAGAUUAGGCAAAAUGCUGGGGUUCUUAGUUCCAGCACUAUUUACAUUUUGAGUUGGGUCCAUGUGAUAACCAACAAUAUCUUCAGAUAUUUGCCAAAUGUCAUCUGGAAGGCAAAAUAGUCCCAAGUGAGGAUUACCUGGGAUGAA